rnacentral:lncRNA from 1 species
GUAAUAGAAUUCAUUUUGUUUCCCAGGUCAUUAAAGCAGCAAGAUUAAAAACCAGCUGCCUGGAAGGACAGAUGGAGAAGAGAGAACGGUUUGAUGGGAAUAUUCUCUAAAGCCAGGUCCAGACUUUUCAGAGAUCAUUGCUGUUUCCUCCUGGAUGCCUCCCAGAAUCAAACUUCACAUCUCUCUGCUGCUCAAGACAUAAUAUCAUCCCUCCUCUGUGGAGCAUCAGAUUAAUUUUCAGGUUGGCCUAGAAGACCUCUGAUGUUCCAUGUAGCUCUGAGAUUCUGUGGUGAGCAGUUCUACAAAUCUGUAGCAUAGGUACUUCCUUGGGCAAAACAAUAAAACCCAAAAGAUGUUCA